GGGCCCGCACAAGCGGUGGAGUAUGUGGUUUAAUUCGACGCAACGCGCAGAACCUUACCCGGCCUUGACAUCCUUGGAAUCCUUCCGAAAAGAAGGAGUGUCCCCUCACGGGGAAGCCAAGUGACAGGUGCUGCAUGGCUGUCGUCAGCUCGUGUCGUGAGAUGUUCGGUUAAGUCCGGCAACGAGCGCAACCCCUGUCGUUAGUUGCCAUCAAUUCGGUUGGGCACUCUAGCGAGACUCCCGGUGUUAAGCCGGCGGAAGAUGGGGAUGACGUCAAGUCCUCAUGGCCCUUAUGGUCGGGGCUACACACGUGCUACAAUGGUACUUACAAUGGGAUGCAAAGAGGCGACUCUUAGCUAACCCCUAAAAUGUACCUCAGUUCGGAUUGUACUCUGUAACUCGAGUGCAUGAAGCUGGAAUUGCUAGUAAUCGCGGAUC
rnacentral:rRNA from 1 species